rnacentral:lncRNA from 1 species
UGAGGAGGAGCCGGAGACGCCGCGGAGGAGACCGGACCGAAGACCGACCGUGCCGGGGAGAGGUGAGCCCCGGCCCCGCCGCCGACCCGUCCGGGCCGGCCCCAAGCUUCGGCGGUGACGGCGUCCCCGCGGCCGGGGCGGCGGGGAGAGCCGCGUACUAACGCUGCUGGGCCUCCCGCUGCGCGGGGGCGGCGGCGGGAGGGGGCCCCCGUGGCUUAGGGGCGACGGGGACCCGGGCAGUGUUCUCGCGGUGGCUCCGCGGAGAGCAAGACCCGGGCGGGAGGUCGGUAGAUAGGGGGCUCCGGGGGCUGUGGAAGCCGGGACGCGCGCGGUACCAGGCUCUGCAAGCCUCACUCUGUGGGGAAUGGUCGCAAUCCGAGGGAGGGCAAGGGCCCUGCCGGGCGGUGCAGAGUUGAGAUGAGUGACCCUACUUCGACAGUGUGUCCUCGGAGUGAAUUUGCGAAAGGCAUGAAGAGGCGCCUCCGGACUCCUGGGAGGAAGGCCUUUAUAGGUGAAAUCGGAGAGUUGGGAUGUCAGGAGAGAGCUUCCUGGGCACGUCAUUGUUGCGGCGGGAUUUGAACCCCAGGGUCGUCGUGAGUGAAGGCAUUCCCGUGUCAGGAUAAAGACCCCGCGACCCGACAGAGCUACCUAGUUGUUAACGUUCAAGACAGCUUCCUGGAGUCAUGGGGAAAUUAGUGUUUUUCCUCCCUCAUUGUCACGGAGAUGGAAGCAGCCAGGAGAGGAAACUCCUGCCUCAGCUCUGGGGCCUUGUUAUUGUGUAUCUUGUCAGGAGGGUGAAAAUGAAAGCGGGCUGUAGCAUCGUGGAAAAGCCAGAAGGAGGUGGAGGUGAGCAGAAGUUAAUCAGUCAUUUUCUGAUGCACCUGGAAUGUCCCUCAGUGGUUCCUGUUCUCUUCACUUGGGCUUGGUUCACAAAUGCAAGACUGUGACUGACCACCUCUUGACAGGGUAGAUACUGCUAGGACAGUUGUAUGCUUUUUCCUAUGGAUGAAUAUUAAUAAAUGUGGUCACCACACCCUUAUUUCCAAGCAUUCGAGUCUCUUUCCUCUUAGAGAAACAAUUCCAACCUUGGGGAAAAGGUGCUGUUUUCUAAAACGUUGUCUUUCCUGUGUGUUCCCUUUGAAACUUCCAUGUCCUCACAGGAAGUAGGCAUGAGAUUUAGUAAAGUCUGAAAGGGGAAAAGAUUAGGACACCUGGCUGCUGCUAC